GCCUUGUUAGCGCAGUAGGUAGCGCGUCAGUCUCAUAAUCUGAAGGUCAUGAGUUCGAUCCUCCUACAGAGCA
rnacentral:tRNA from 1 species